AAUCUUCCACAAUGGACGAAAGUCUGAUGGAGCAAUGCCGCGUGAGUGAAGAAGGGUUUCGGCUCGUAAAACUCUGUUGUUAAAGAAGAACACUCUUGAGAGUAACUGUUCAGGAGUUGACGGUAUUUAACCAGAAAGCCACGGCUAACUACGUGCCAGCAGCCGCGGUAAUACGUAGGUGGCAAGCGUUGUCCGGAUUGAUUGGGCGUAAACCGAGCGAAGGCGGUUUUUAAAGCCUAUGGGAAAGCCUUUGGCUUAACCGGAGGAGGGGAACGGAAAACUGGGGAACUGAGGGGAGAAGAAGACAGGGGAACUCCAUGUGUAGCGGUGGAAUGCGUAGAUAUAUGGAAGAACACCAGUGGCGAAGGCGGCUGUCUAGUCUGUAACUGACGCUGAGGCUCGAAAGCAUGGGUAGCAAACA
rnacentral:rRNA from 1 species